UCUGCAGAUACACCUGCUGUCUGCUGUUGUCUCUGGAGAUGGUGAAGCGGUUUUUCACUGACUCUGAGUAGUACAUGCUGCCGCUGCUAUCACUGAUAGUAGCAACCCAUUC